CUUGCUUCAGUUCUCUCUCCACCUCCUCCUCCUCCUCCAUUUCUAAGCACUCAAUCUAUCUACCUCUCUCAAGACCCUCCUCCUUCAAGAUUUGCACUCUGCCAUCUUGAAACUUCUCUUCUAUUGCAGACUCUUUACCCAUGGGCUUCCCCUCUCACGACUCGCAUCCUAAUAAGUGAGACCCAUCUUAGUACUAGCGCUGCUAAAUGAGGGAGAGCUGGUUACUAUAGUUUUUCAGGACACGAUCACUCUGUUGGAGGUGGUGACAAUGAAGCUCCUAGUGCAAGGGGUUAUCGACAAGGUGGGUAAUGAGAUGGAAUCAGACUCAUGAUGGUGAUGGAUUACAUAUUAUUCAUUUUGGAUGUUUGAUAGACGCAAAUUCAAAUAAUUUGAGAGGAAGUCAAAUGAAGAUAUGGAAGUUAGACUUUCAUCAAAUAUGGUAUACUUUUGAAGUGUACUUCAUGAUUGUAUUUAUUCACUACAUUACAAGUUCUGUGCAUGUUGCUUAUGGACAUGAUGUGAAUGUAUUGUGUAUGCGAUGUUAUUCAUUGAGGUGAAUAAAAGUGUAACAUGUUAUU